AAGAUAAUUCACAUUACACAUACACACAACAGAAGCCGAUGGCUUGUCAUACACAGCUGAUCGGAUAACGGACUCAACAAAACAACAUAUACACAAUACAUGCACGUGGACAUUUAGCAUCAAGAACGGACAGUAAAACAGUUAGUGUAAAGCUAAGAGGGGAUACUGCGAAGAAAGGGGUAAGCGUCAGCCUCGACCAAGCCAAAUCCAGCUACGCAAGAGAUAUGUUUAUCAGAUAUGCUAUUGAAAAAAUGGCGCUAGGUUAUUCGUAACAGGUCGUGUCCUGCAUACUGUGGGGAAAAAUGUAUGGUGCCGUUUACGUCCUAUCAACGUUGACGGGCUACGUCCUCACCUCCGCGCUGCUGCUCAAAUGUCCAACUCUCCUGCACCGGAAGAAGAGGGAAAGGUUCCACAGCAAGCACAUUUCCCAUCGUGGAGGAGCAGCAGAGAACCUGGAGAAUACAAUGGCAGCUUUCAAACACGCUGUGGCUCUUGGUACGGACAUGUUAGAGCUCGACUGCCACUUGACGAAGGAUGAGCAGGUUGUGGUGUCACAUGACCCUCAUCUGCAGCGAGCAACUGGCAUUAACGCCUACAUCUCUGAUAUGGCAUAUGCAGAGUUGCCACCGUACCUCUGCAAACUGGCUGUAACCUUUCAAAGGGAGUGUUUUUGCGAGGGAGGAGAGGACAAACGCAUUCCUCUGCUCAAGGAUGUUUUCGAAGCAUUUCCUGACACUCCUGUCAACAUUGACAUUAAGGUCAAUGACGACACGCUAAUCAAGAAGGUAUCUGAGCUGGUUGUAAAAUAUGACAGAGAGCACAUAACAGUAUGGGGCAACGCUAGCAACCAGAUCGUUAGGAAAUGUUACAAAGAGAACCCUCGCAUUCCUGUGUUGUUUAGCUUUCCCAGAGUGUUGCAGUUGUUGGGCCUCUUUUAUACUGGCCUGCUGCCUUUUGUGCCCUUAAAGGAACAAUUCUUGGAGAUCCCAAUGCCCAAUAUUGUGAACAAUGAAUAUGAAACUAUUUUUGCUGUGCACAACUACCAGCAGAUGGCAGCGGUGCACCAUUUUGGAUUAUUAGAUCAACCCUGUUUGAGAGUCCACAUGAGUUGUAUGAGACAAAUGGUGGCCUUUUAAUGAAACCAAUUGAUGUUCUCUUGCUGAUUACUAUAGAUACCCAUUGAACACACAUUCUGGUUUGUAGAAUCAGUCAGAAUGCUAUAUUUUGACAAUAACAAACAAACAAAGACAAAACUUUAUUCUUGUUUCCUUAAUGGAAUAUGAUACAUAGAAUGUUUAGGGGAAAAGGUUUUUCCAUUUUGCAAUGAGAAUACCAUUAAAUUUAUAAAUAGUGAAGUACUGUGAACACUUUCCAGAUACAUUAUAAGUAAAAGCACACCGCAGAAACGGAUAGCAUCAGUCAACAAAUUCUCAUUGGAUCACAUCAGGUCAAAGAGCAGGUUAUUUUUCCAAUUCCUUAGCUGAUUCUCAUGUUGAUUGUGGACAUGUGCUUCAUGGAAGAAUUCACUCUGACUAUAACAGUGACUGAAGUGGAAGUUAACUUAAUCCAUUCCACCUUUAAUUUUAACGAGUAGCGGUCUUAGCAGAGAAGACCGGAGUUCCCGGACUCUCGUCCUCUACUCGAUCUCGCUUCACAGAGCGAUAACGGACACAGCUGUGUCUCCCUUUGUAUGUAGCAACCCUGACAUUCUACAAAGGAAAACAACCUCUGCGUAUUCUUGUCUUUUGGGUCAAGACAAGCCAAAAUUUCAACGACAAACAACAUUUCCCAAAGCUUGAGACCAUAAGUUACAGUAGAAUGUUUUGUACAGUUACCAUGAGUGAAGGUGCUUAAAUCCAUAAGAUAAGCAAGUUUGUUUUUUACUUUUAUAUAGUGUAAUGUCAAUUCAUUUUUGCACAAAUUUCACAUGCCAAUUGUGAAGCUGUAAUAAAAUCUGCCGCUGGUUAACUUGCGUUUAAAUAAAGGUUGUCCCGAGUACAUAUUUCCAAGUCACCUGAUUUAUAGGAUCUGCCGAUAUUGAGUACCAAUCCGAUACUUUGGCAAUGUAUUGAUUUAUUACAAAACAUUCAUUUUUUUCUUUGGACGACAUCCUUUUACGGCAUAUUUUGUUGCUCUGUAGCCUUAAAAAAAAAAAAAAAACUAUCCUAUCUUGUAAAAAUGAUGUGAUUGGAUUGAUUUCCGAUCAUGUGAUCGGAUCAGGGACAUCUCUAAUCCUUAUACUUCUGUAUUAUAUAGCUGCUUGUAGCCCAUAACCCCUUCAGAUCUAAGCAUGCUGCUGAAGGACAUGACGCUUUCGCGUCUCUAAACCAAUAAAUACACAGAAUUUAGUUGGUAUUGCCACUUCUGGGAGAUGAUUGGAUGAAACUUAACCCAUCGAAAUCAAAUCAUGAAUGAGGUUUGGCACGUCCUCUUUGCUUGUUGGCUCUUUGAAAAUGGCUGAACAAGUGCAACUUUAAAAAGUAUAACGUAAAGUGCUCAUUUUUCAUCAAAAACACAUUAACAUAAAAAAAUAACCAAUAGAUACAUGAAAUUUCCCCGACCAAAAAAUUGCACUUUGUUCUGGUUUUUGAGUAGUGUGGAAAUCAGUGCAGAUUUUUUUUUUUGUCCAGCAAAAAAAAAUAAGGGUCUGAAGGGUUUGAUUUAUUAAAUGCUAUUGACAGUUAAAGACUUCAAAUCCACUUCAACUAGGAAGGCUGGCAAUGAGUGAUCAUGCUUCACUGCCAAUGACGGCGAUAGACGUCCUAUCCAAUUUGACUGGUAGCCAGUCAAAUUGGAUUGGACGUCUAUUGCCGUCGAUGGCAGCCAAUGAGUUAAUACUUAAAAAUUAAUUCACAGACUCUAUGAUCCAGACCGAAUAACCAAAAGUCAGCGCCUCCUCACCUGGCUUGCAGACAGUUUGUUGAUGAGGAAAGCUCUAUUUCAGCAUCUCACUGCCAGGGGAAUACAGGUGUACAUUUGGGUGCUAAAUGACGAAGAAGACUUCCAGAGGGCGU